AGAAAAGCUACCAUCGCACAGAAAGCUUACCUACAGCCGGGAGGAAAGCCGGCCGUGGCGUCUCGGUUUGAGCACCAUAGACGCAGAAUGCAGUGGGAAAAAAAAUCGCCUGGGAAAUCAGGAAAAGAGCCAUGAGACGUUUGCCUCUCACACAUGACCAGUGGCAUCCAAUGACAGGCGAUGGAGGCACAUAAAAAGCUCACAGAUGGAAAGAGAGUCGCCACGUUGCACUGGAAGAACGGUGUUUGCUCCAGCAUGUGAUAUGCUGAUGGACCGGUCCACAGUAAACGAAUGAGGGAGAGCCAAAGACCGAUCUACGGCACUCACAAUGGCCUUAGAUUCGAUCAGGAUUAGG